rnacentral:rRNA from 1 species
UACGUAGGCAGCAAACGUUGUUCGGAAUUACUGGGCGUAAAGAGUGUGUAGGCGGUUUCGUAAGUUUGGUGUGAAAUCUCCCGGCUUAACUGGGAGGGUGCGCCGAAAACUGCAAGACUUGAGUACUGGAGAGGAUAGCGGAAUUCCUGGUGUAGCGGUGAAAUGCGUAGAUAUCAGGAGGAACACCGGCGGUGUAGACGGCUAUCUGGACAGUAACUGACGCUGAGACACGAAAGCGUGGGGAGCAAACAGG